AGCGAACGCUGGCGGCAUGCCUAACACAUGCAAGUCGAACGAACGUAUCGGGGGUAUUGGCGGACGGGGUUGGAACACGACGGAACGUUCCCAUAUGGAUGGAAUAACUCAGGGAAACGGGUGCCAAUACCGAACGGGCCCUUCGGGGGAAAGAUUAAUCGCAUUUAGAGGGGCAAGCGUCUGAUUAGCUAGUUGGUUGAGUUAAUGGCUCACCAGGGCGACGUUCAGUAGCUGGUAUGAGAGGCUGAUCAGCCACAUUUGCACUGAGACACAGCACAAACUCCUACGGGAGGCAGCAGUGGGGGAUCUUGCGCAAUGGGCGAAAGCAUGACGCAGCCAUGACGCGUGAAUGAUGAAGGUCUGAGAGUUGUAAAAUUCUUUCACCGGGGAAGAUCAUGACGGUACCCGGAGAAGAAGCCCCGGCUAACUUCGUG
rnacentral:rRNA from 1 species